UACGAAGGGGGCUAGCGUUUUUCGGAAUUACUGGGCGUAAAGCGCACGUAGGCGGACAUUUAAGUCAGGGGUGAAAUCCCAGAGCUCAACUCUGGAACUGCCUUUGAUACUGGGUGUCUAGAGUAUGGAAGAGGUGAGUGGAAUUCCGAGUGUAGAGGUGAAAUUCGUAGAUAUUCGGAGGAACACCAGUGGCGAAGGCGGCUCACUGGUCCAUUACUGACGCUGAGGUGCGAAAGCGUGGGGAGCAAACAGG
rnacentral:rRNA from 1 species